rnacentral:rRNA from 1 species
AACGAACGCUGGCGGCAGGCCUAACACAUGCAAGUCGAGCGAGGACUUCGGUCCUAGCGGCGGACGGGUGAGUAACGCGUGGGAACGUGCCCUUUGCUUCGGAAUAGCCCUGGGAAACUGGGAGUAAUACCGGAUGAGCCCUUUGGGGGAAAGAUUUAUCGGCGGAGGAUCGGCCCGCGUUGGAUUAGGGAGUUGGUGGGGUAAUGGCCUACCAAGCCGACGAUCCAUAGCUGGUUUGGGAGGAUGAUCAGCCACACUGGGACUGCGACACGGCCCAGACUCCUACGGGAGGCAGCAGUGGGGAAUCUUAGACAAUGGGGGAAACCCUGAUCUAGCCAUGCCGCGUGAGCGAUGAAGGCCUUAGGGUUGUAAAGCUCUUUCAGCUGGGAAGAUAAUGACGGUACCAGCAGAAGAAGCCCCGGCUAACUCCGUG